UCCGCUUGUAGUACUUACAACUCGCAAUGAAAACGUCCCCUUUACGGAUUCGAUAAUAAUAAACUAAGAAAUAGAUCAUCAAUUUGCAAAAAUACCUGAGCGCCAACUAAAUUUCAGUGCUGGCGUUUUUUGUUUACAUUUUAACAACAAGAGAUAUAAGGUGACAUACAAGUCUUGAGGAUGGUUAGGUUAAGUUCGGGAGUUCUUUCUCGAAAGAUACAGGCACGACUGGCCAAAUAUGUUCUUUCCGCGUCGUAAAUUCUCUGAUCGGAUAAAUUCAAAUAAUCACGAAGACUACUGAGCACAGAGGAGAAAUAUUUUUCCUCUGCGACGUUAAUAUGCUUUACUUCACAACGCAGUGCAAACUUUGCCUUGCAGUAAGCAGAUCGUUGGAGACUUUAGUGUCGAACGAACUCGGUGAUGUAUAAUUCCCAUGGAGCACUGAAACAAGUAUUCAAGGAUUGUUUGAUUUCCUUUUCUUUGAUGCAUUCAGAAGUGUAGCAAUUGCAGGUAAGAUCAGCAAUUAUUGUCUUUAUCUCCCCUCAUUUGAACUGCUGUUAACAGGCAACCACACUACAGCGGAGAUGAAGGUGAUCUCUGCAGAUCUCAUUAAGUGUGGCAAAUUUCAUUUCCCAAAGAACAUUAAUGGCUUUUCUGAGCAAGUUAAUUUCAAGAUCAUGAUUAUUCCUCAUACUUAGAUUAUAUUUAAUCAGUUAAUUUAAAAAAAAACAUUUGUCAAGGUGAAAUUUGUCUCCCAAUCAUCAUCCAGGUCUCUAGAUUAUAGUACAGCAAUUUAAUUCUUACCAAAAAGGUUUCCCUCCCCUCUUUGAAGAUAUUAUUGCAUCUACUUCAAACUGGUUUUCAGGUUGCACAUCAUUUCAAGUUAUAAAACUCUUAUGUUGCCUUCAGUUCUUUAGCAAACAGUUUAAAAACUUUUGUGCUCUGGUUAAUAUCUAUCUGGUUUACACAUAGAAAGAAGCAGUUUGGCCCAUCAAGUCUAUGCUGACAUUCAGAGCAAUCCCAUUCUGCCACUAAUUGUCCCUGCAAUCUAUUCUCCUUAUAUUUCCCUUCCCCUCCAGCUUCCACUAAUCACAUGCACACAGGAGAAACAUACUGAGACUAUCCUAACAGCCCACAAACCUUUGGGUCACUGAAGGAAACUGGUGGGGUGGGAUGGGAUAAGGUGCGGAAGAUGAUGAACCCACUCAGUCACAAGGAGAACGUGCAAAUUCCACACUAAUGGUAUCAGAGAUCAGGAUUGAAUGCAAUCCUGUUGUGAGACAGCAGUUCUACUACAUCGUGCUGCUCUCCUUACAAAAGAAAUCCUUUCUGAUUUAUUCCCUCAAAAUUAUGAUUUUGAGAAAGCCUUUAAAAUCUAAGGAAUAAAACAACAACCUUUCCAUAUCACUGAACUUUUGUACUUUCUCCCUGUGAACAUGUGGGUUUCCUCCAGGUGCUCCGGUUUCCUCCCACAGUCCAAAGACAUAUUGAUUGGUAGGUCAAUUGGUCAUUGUAAAUUGUCCUGUGUUUAGGCUAGGAUUAAAUUGGGGGAUUGAUGGACAGCAUGGCUCGAAGGGCUGGAAGGGGCUGUUCUAUACUGUAUCUGAAUAAAAAAAUAAAAUCCACUACUACUUUCACUGAAGCAUUCUAUCUGACUCUUCCUGUGCUUACCAAAAUGCCUCUACUUUCUUCUUACUGUGAUGUGUUGAAAUAAACAAAGUAAUCCACUAAGUCCUAAACAGUAUUUUGGAUAAAGACUUAACAUAACUUCUUUGCUUGGCUGAAAGUUCUCAACAUGUAUUUCUUCAGAUGUCGAAUGUACCUGCGGUUUCUAAAUAACAAAGGGAAUAAUUUGCAUGGUCAUUCAUUUUAAAUCAACACUUGUCCAUAGCCAUCUGGUUUGAAUCAUGAAAUUCAGAAUAUUAACCUAGCCAUGCUUCUAAUGCAUUUGGCCUUUCAAAUCUCCAGCAAUCAUCUAUAAUGUUUCAAGGAAGCCCUUAAGAGUGCUUUUCAUUUAGACUCAACAUACUCACAAUGAGGUUCGGGAUGUGGUCAACUCUUCCAAACAGCUUGGAUCUCCAGACACAAUGCACUCACUGUGUUCUGAUGGGUUCAAUGUGUAACUGGUCCAAUUUGAACGACCUACAUUAUCUGUGUGUCUCACAGACUCAAUCACAGCUUCUAUCUCACAGUUGUCAGACUCUUGAAUGAUCCUCCCAUGUGCUACAUAAGAACAUAAGAAAUAAGAGUAGGAGUAGGCCAUCUAGCCUAUCGAGCCUGCUCCGCCAUUCAAUAAGAUCAUGAAUAAGAUUGAAAAACCAUUGGAUAUGAUUCAAUAAGAACACAAACUCUUUAACGCCUGAUCUUCCAAUCAAUGUCACCUUUGCACUUUAUUUAUCUACUGUAUUUGCACUGCUCUUUAUUUAUAAUUGCACCACUAUAUCCUGCAUUAUCUUCUUACUAGCUGAUGUAAUUCAUCAUGGCAUGAUCCCUUUGUAAGUCACUUGAAUCAUAGCUUUUCACUGUACAUACGAUAAUAAUAAACCAAUGGUUCAUUUUUAUAAAGGUGAUGUUACAUCAUGAGACAUAGAACUAAUUAUUUACAACAGUUUUCCAUGACAAUGGUCAUCAGCAAAGAAAAUGGGAUGUUUCUCACAAAAUAGGUUUAUUACAAUAUUGAAUGAUAAAUGUGGUUUGACAACACAGAGGAGUGAGGUUUCACUGCUGCAGGAUUGAGAAGAUUGGCGCUCCCUUCCAUCUUUUCAUUCUGUGUGAGAUGGGUAAGCAAAUGAGGAGAAAGUCCAGGAUGAAAUAUGGGUUGAUGGAUUUCACUUAUGAGCUUUUCAAGGAUAACAAAGGGAAUUCUACAUCACUGUUUAGUGACAUAUUGGAGAAUCUUCAGUCCCCUCAGUCCAUGCGACUUCCAGUACUGAAGGAGGGUCCUGGCCCAAAACAUUGACUGUAUUAUUCAUUUCCAUAGAUGUUGCCUCACCUACUGAGUUCCUCCAGCAUUUUGUGUGUGUAACCUUUAGAGUAUUUCAGUUGGUCACAUUACCCACCUUAUUUUUCCCUUCAACUGGUAAUCUUUCAAAUCCCCAUCAACCUUCCCUCAAUUCGCAUGCCAGUCACCCAUACUUGGGUCAUUUUCAGAAGCCAAUUAAUCUAACAACCCAAUAAAUGAAAAUCUGUAGUUGCUGGAAAUCAAGAAUAAAAUUCAAAAAUUGUAGAAACCUUCUUUUCCCCCUUUUUGCAGGAUGAAGAGAGGCUUGGACCUGAAACAGUAAUUAUUUUACUUUACUCACAGCCAAGUGUUUCCAGUGUUUUCUGUUUUUAACCCUAAUAAUCAGCACAUACUGUGGAUGUAAUGAGACAAAACUAGAAAUCUUGGGAGUAAACCAAAGCUGUCACAGAGACAACAUCACCUCCAUACACAUAGAACUGGAGGGCAGGAUUUAGUGGGAUUUAAAAUUAAUGUAAAGAUUAAUUUUACAUUAAUGUUUAACUCUAGGUUAAAAACAAACAAUGAUGAAUUUCCAAGAGACAUAAUUGAUUCAUGGAACUUGAGGGUACUUAGAACUGCCAAAGUCAGCUGAAAAAAAAACUAUAUCAGCAAGGAAAUAUUUUAAAUUAAAUUGCUCAAUUUUAAAUUUAACCCACAAAAUUCAACACUUCGUACUCUCUGCACAUGGUUACUGCAAAACACAAAAGUUUCCAUCAUUUAUGUGAACGACAAGAUAUCUGAUUCUGAUUCACUUGAAACACUUAUUAUUUAACCAUCUUAAUUCAUAUUUUUAUUUUGAACAUCCAACGUUAGGAGGGGUCACUGACUCAGAACAUUGGCUCUGUUUCUUUCUCCACAGAUGCUGUUUUAUAAGCUGCGCACUUCCAGCAUUUCCAGGUUUUGUUUCAGAUAUCCAAAACCUGCAGAAUUCUACUUUGCCAUACCUGUCUCACUCUGAUGCGAGGCUAUCCACAUUAACUGCGCUUUUAUUUCUCUCCACAUGUGCUGUCUGAUAUGUUGGACUUCUUGUUUUAUAUUUCCAGUAGCCACUAAGUUCUUUUUGUUCAAACCCAUCUUGUGGAAUGACUGAAUCAGCUGAUACAGUGUCCAACUCCAUUUUAAUUAAUUUGCCAUUCACUUCUGUGGUAUGUCUUAUUGCUUGCCUAUUGUUAGUGUUCACUUGUAAAUCUCAAGACCAUCCAGUCCUGUGUCACACUCAUCAGAUUUUUCAUCAACAGUAUGCAGAUUAGUGCUCUUUUCAAAACUGUAACUCAAUUUGUUGUUUUUUUUUCUCUUCCAGCUGCAGUCCAUUUAUUUUCAUCUGCCAACAAGCUCUUUGUGUCCUACUUUGUUGCAUUUUCUGCAAGUUUCACUUUUAAACCUGCAUUGGUUCGGUGAAUGUGAGCCCCUGCCACAACAAUAACACAAUAUGUUUGGCAGGCUGGUUUCUAUUUCAACAUUUCAAUUUUGUUCAUGCUCACUUUCAUUCUAGACUGCAACUUUUUUUUCAACUACUCUUUUAAAUGUACGUUAUGCUACAGUUAGGCGCCAUUUUUGAAUGCUUUCCUGUAAGAUUCCACAAAGUUAGUAAUCUCUCAGUGCAUUAUUAAGUCCGUUAUCAAACUAACAACGCUCAAACUUUUAAAUUCAGCCAUGUACACUCAAAUGGACUUGCCUUCCUUUUGAUUCUGCUUAUAAAAUCCAAAGCUGUUCUGCAACCAACAAAGGUUUCAGUUCUAGAUGCUGUACUUUCACGAUAUCAGCAAAGCUCAUUUUGGCUGGUUCAGUUGGAUCAGUUAACUUCUUUUUAAGCAGCCUUUAAACCCAAUGCGCUCAGCAAAACUAGCACCCAUUUCUCAUUGGCUAUUUCAUUUGCUUCUAAAAGCUAUUCAAUUAGCUCAGCUUACAUGCCCGUUGAACAAUCAAACAUGUCAAUUUUUCCAAUGUAGCCGGACAUUUCUGCUCUUUCUUUCAUGAUUAUUAUCACCCAAUACUCAUGUUUAUGAACCUGUGAUUUCUUCUGCUUUCUGCCUUUUUUCACUUGACAGUCUCUGUUUGCUUUUGUGAACCGACACCUGCCACGCUGCUUUUCAUUACUUGACCGUUUCUCACUGAGCUUCUUUAUAGCUCAAACACCUUGCUGUGCUUCAACAGGUAGUUGUCUCGGUUUCAUUUUUUAAAUACCUCGUCGCCACUGUUAUGUUUUGUAAAUCCAAAACAUAAAACUAAUUUAAGGGAAAAGAUGGAGAAUCCAAAAUGCUAGUCCAACUUAGUUUUUACUUUAAGUGAGGCGCACACAUAUCACGUCGUAGUGUCAUGACAGCUUGGUCAUUUUGUCCUAGUUUGGGUGAGCUCAGACCUUGGCCACUGCUAACUGGGACGAUAAAACCACAACAUGCAAUAAAUUUGAGGAAUUCACCACUGAGAUGCGUCAGGUUUUUGACCAUCCAGAAAGUGGAAGGGAGACAGCAGAUUGGAUACUUCACCUACAUCAAGGCUCAGGCACGAUGCUGGAUUACACUGUGGAAUUCAGGACCCUUGCAGCUGGAACGUGGAAGCAUUGCUGGCCCAUUAUCAUCAUGGCCUCUGGGAGCACACAGGAGAUGAGCUGUCUACCCACCCAGGAGAUGCACAUGGACCUCAAAAGCCUUAUCACUCUGCUCUCUGAAUUGUCAAGCGUCUUAUGGAAUGACCCUCCAGAUCAUCAGCCAGAAUCUCAUUUCUGUUCCCAGAACCACUUCAGACUGCAGACCCUCAUCUUCAAUGCCUCCAGAACCCAUGCAGUUAGGGAGAGUUCCCUUAACCCCUCAAGAGUGUGAGUAUUGUUGGAGAAACAACCUGUACACUUACUACUGAGCCACUAAUCACCCACGCAUCAAAUACCCACUACCUCUGGGAAAACAGCACCAUAAGGUAGUGACAAGGGACCCUCUAUCUGCUAAGUUCCCCCAGCUGCUUAUUCCAGCACCAUAGCCUGAUUCACUCUCUCUGUCCUACUCUACACCCCAAAGGCUCUACGUACAAAAGAGGCUCUAGUCUAGUGGAUUCCCACACUACAGGCAACUUUCUGGGUCAGACUCUGUGCGUGCAACAUGGACUCCCUACCAGGCCUAUCUGUCACCCCUUCUGCAUCACGUCUAUUGAUGGGCGUCCAUUUGGGUCUGGGAUGGUCAGUGCAAGCACACGGCUUGAGCACAUGAGCACUGGAGAGCACCGUGAGUCCAUUCAGUUCCUCGAUGACACAACCAACACUCCUCUCAUCUUGGGUUACCCCUGGCUCUCCACUCAUGACUCUCACUUUGCCUGCUAUCCGGUUCACUGCUGAAUUGGAGACCCACCUGCCUGCAACCCCCGCUGACCUCGCCACGUAAAUCCGUGGUAAUGGAGGACACCCUUGAUCUCACAAAACUCCCAAAAGAAUACCAUGACCUAGCCGUCGCUUUCAGUAAAAGGGAGGCCUGCACCCUGCCGUCUCACAGGCCACAUGACUGCAUGACCAACUUCCUCCUGGACACCACCCCUCCUUGAGAUCCUCCGUUCUCCCUCUCCCCAACCGAGACCCAAGCCAUGAAUGACUACGUCGCUGAAGUACAACUUCAUUCAAUCAUCCCAGUCCCCAGCUGAUGCAGGGUUUUCCUUUAUUAAGAAAUGUUGGAAGCCACUGUUUUUUUAAUAAUACUUUUUAUAAGAUUUGUACUUUUUAAGAAACUUGUGUAUUUUUUACAGUAUGUGGUGGCUCAUCCCCACUCACUGGCAGAAAGUGGUAUAGCAGCUAAACUAAUGGUUUGCCACCUCUCUCACUUUCAUUGGCUAAGUAUUAGCACAUUACCCAUGUGAUAUAAUUGUUUUAAUUAUGUAGCCUAUUAACUUGUUUAUCCUAUCUAAGAAAUAUCUUAUCUAAUCUAUGGAAGUGAUGGAUUUUUCAGAGGCACCAUCUUGGCUUCUUCUUGUAUCUUUCACUUUCACAUUCAUUCUACCACUCAGCAUCAUUUUUCAGCUCUCUAUUUAGUUUGCUGAGUAUUUGUAUGUUUGUACUCUAAAAUAAACUGAAAUCGUGGAAUUAAGACUAUUUGUCAUUCCUGACUAAGGAUCAGAAAAUAAACAGAGAUCCAACAGAAGAAAGAUAGUGGCAUUUGUCCCUGCAUUGACUACCGUGGACUCAACAAAUUACCAUUAAUCUCUCCCCUUGAUGGAUAGCACAUUCAAAACACUCCACAGGACCUAGGUCUUCACCAAAUUUGAUCUACAGAGCAUGUACAACCUGAUCUACAUCCACCAGAGGGAUGAUUGGAAGAUACUGUUCAUAACACCCACUGGCAGCUACAAAUACUUGGUAAUGCCUUUCGGACUUUCCAACAGUACAGCCACCUUCCAAGCCUUCAUCAACAAGAUCCUCUGACAGUUAUCUUCAAAGGUAUGCAUUUGUCUGCCUAAACAACAUCUCAAAGGACCCCCGAGGCCACAUCUGUCACAUCGGUCAGCCAUUCAGCAUCUUCUUGAACAGCAACUGCACUGCAAGUUAGAAAAAUGCCAGUUCCACGUCCGGGCAUUACCAUAGUGGGGCUACGUCCUUUCACCCCAAAGCAUAAUCAUGGACCCAGAGAAAGGGCGUGCCAUCAUUGAAUGGCCCUGACUGCACUCUGUCAACCAGCCACAGUGCUUCUUAUAUUUCCCCAGCUUCUACUGCCAGUUCAUUUAGAAACUAUAGCCAAAUUGCUGGUCUUCUCACAUCCCUCACCACAUCACCUACCUCACAAAUAACCUAGUCCGCUACUGUGGACCUUGAUUUCAAGGAGCUCAAGAGACAUGUCACCACCAUUUCCACCAUCCUAACCCUCUGGAGAUUUUGUGAUAGAGGUAGGCGCAUCUGACAUGAGCACAGGGGCCAUCUUCUCCCAGCAAGGACCAGACAGGAAGACAAACCCUUGUGCUUUCUCAUGCAAGUUCAACUCUACAUGGUGUUGUUAUGGAGUUUGAGACAGGGAGCCACUCACCAUCAAGCGGACCUUGGAGGAAUGGAGGCAUUUUCUGAUGGGAAAACACUGGAUCCUUUCUGAUCCAGACUGACUGCCAGAAACUCAUUUCGAUUCAGCAGACCCACCAACUCAACAUACAUCUGGUUUGCUGGGAACUCUUCUUCAAGCAAUUCAACUUCACCUUGUCCUACCCAGUUCCAAUAACACUAAGGUGGAUGCCCUGUCAUGAUAGUUCAACUCAGCAGAAACCAAGAUCAACCAUCAGCCCAUCAUUCCAUCCUCUCAGAUUCUCACCCUGAUAGUUUGGGACUUUACAAGCUAGAUCCACCGGGCUCUGCAGCAUGAGCCCGCUUCAGUCAACACACUAGGCAUGGCCAGCAGCAUUGUGUUCGGAGACACUCCAGUGGGCCCAAUCCUAACCCCUCUCUAGUUGUCCAGGCGCAUGACAGACUCUGGAUUUUCUGUUUGCCACCUUCAGAUGGAGGCACCAUGGUCAUGAGAGAGGUGGACUGGUUCUCCAAAGCAGCCCACUUCAUUGCUCUUCCCAAAAUUCUGACAGCCACUGAGAUGGUGGACCUGGUUCUCCAACAAGCAGUUUGCCUCCACGGAUUCCCCCAGGUUGCACUGGGGCCUACAAUUCAUCUCCCACUUCUGGCGAGUUUUCUGCUCUCUCCUCUGCACCUCAGUGAAUCUGUCCUCUGGCUAUCAUCCGCAGACUACAGAGAGUCAGAAAGAAUCAAUUAGCAAGUGGAGAAUUUUGCGGGGUUUCUCCGCCCCUAACCUUUCCACAUGAGGCUGGUUGUUCAGAGUGAGCAAUUGUUGUGGAUGAAGCUGUUUCUGUCAGUUUUAUCUCGAAUCCAUCGCUUAACGAGGAGUUACACCAGAACCGUCCAGAUCACCCUUGGCCGUCAGGUGUCAGCCAUGGGAUUGGGUGGAGGGGGGGUGUGGGGGGGGAGUCCUGUUAGGCCAGUUCAGUCUGGCACAUCCCAGUCUCCACCCAGUUAACAAGAAUCACCUACCACUCAUUUCCAACUCAUCACCUGCAGCCUAUUUAAACCCAACUCUCAUCCACAAUCCUUGUUUGCUCAACAAACCAGCCAGCUUCAACCUAGUCAUUCAUUACUUUGUUGCCUUAGUGUGUUUUGUAUCUGAUCUCUCUUGUUUUAUGGCCUCUCAUGACUUAUUAUUUUACAGUUUAUUAGUAAAAUUAUCACUCACUGAUAAAUUAUCUCUGCUGCUCUGCAUUUGGGUCAAGCCUCCUCUACAUUUCCUGACAGACUUGGUGGACACGGACAUUUGUAGCAAUGAGUUCCACUGAAUCACUACCUUCCGGUGAAAGAAAUUCCUCCUCAUCUCUGUUCUAAAGGGAUGUCCUUCUACUCUGAGGGUGUGCCCUCUGGUACUAGACUCUCCCACUAUUACUAUCAGAUUUAUUAUCAAUAACAUACGACACUAUAUUUAUUAUUAUGUAGUAGCAUGACAGUACAAAAAGCAUAAAAAUACACAAAUUCAAAAAUACAUAAAUUCUACCAAAAAAAGGACAAAUAAGGUAGCGUUCACGGGUUGUUUUAAAAAAAUACCCAUAGAGGGAUGAUUUCUUUGUGUUGGUCCUACUCAUUCUUGAAAAAUAAAAAUCCAACCUAGAACAGAUCUACCUCUCUUUGGCCCAGGAGUAUGUAUACUUUGCUGGAAAAUCGAGAGGAAUAUUGCUCUUGACUGUCGCUUCAACAGUGAGCAUGGCCGUAUCUUGUCCUCUGUAUUACCCUCCAGCGGUGAAUGUGUUUCUGGGUGCAUUUGUCUCUGCAGUUAUUUUGAUCGACAGUGGAAGUAUAGCUUAAGCUCCUUUGGCCAGAUCAUGAACUUUCCUGUACAGUGCUAGAAUUUUUAGAACAUGUGACAUUAAUGCAGACCUUCUGUUCCUUCAUUCUGCAAAAUCAACCUGCAAUUUUCCUUUAAAUACCUUUAUUUUUAUUAUCCAUAUUGCAGUCAACAAUUUGCACCAGAGUUUUCUUUAAGCCAUUUCUACCAAAUUGUCAUAAGAACAUAAACAGAAAGAUUACACCUCUGGGUGCCAUCCGUUUUCACCAUUCCACAGGAGUUUGGCUGAUCUCACCUCAUACCACCUUCUCCUAUCAAUCCAAUGCUCAUAAAUUUAAAAAAACACUAAAUUUCAUUACCAUUUAGUAGCAUUUCACUCAACAAAUGGUUCAAACAAUAUGUGAUUAAAACAGAAAUUGAACUAUUAUAAGCAUUAGUUUUUACAACAAGUGUUUUUCUUUCAGCAUUAUAUAACUGCAAGUUCACUCAGUGGCUCCCUCCUGUACCUGAUAAAGUAGCCAUAUUGUGCGUUCAGAGAUGCUCUUCUGCACAUCACUAAUGAAACAUGUGGUUAUUUCAGUUAUCGCCAUCCUUAUGGUAGCAUGAACCAAUCUUGCCAUUCUCCUCUGAUCUCUCUCAGUAGCAAGGCGUUUUUGCACACAGAACAACCGCUCACUGGAUUUUCAUGCACAGAACUGCUGCUCGCUCCCUUGCACCAUUCUCUGUGAACUCUAGAGAUUGCUUUGUGUGAAAAUCCCAGGAGAGCAGCAGUUUCAGAGAUACUCAAACCACCCCCUCUGGCACAAACAGUAAUUCCAUGAUCAGUCACUUGGAUCAUAUUUCUUCCGUAUUCUAAUGUUUGGUCUGAAUCUCUUGACCAUAUCAACAUGAAUGGCUGAUGAGAUAUUUACAUUAACAAGCAGUUGUAUAGGUAUACCUAAUGAGGUGGCCAUGGAGUGGACAUCUCUUCUAGUUGUCUUUGGUCACCUAGAAAUUUGGCUUGGUAUUGGCAUGUUAUUGUCACAUGUGCCAAGAUACAAUGAAAAGGUUCCUUGCAUAGAGUUCAUACGGAGCAUCGAUGGAGAACAACGUAACACAGUAACAAUGCAGAAUAAAGUGUAAAAGCUACAGAGAAAAUGCAAGUAAGCAAAGUGCAAGAUCAUAAUGAGGCAGACUGUGUGGUCAAUAGUUAAUUUUAUUGCACAAGAGGUCAGUUCAAGACUCUGAUGACAGUGGGAUAGAAGCUGUCCUUGAGCCUGGUGGUACAUGAUAAUGUAUCUUCUGCCCAAUGGGAGAGGGGAGAAGAGAGAAUGUCUGGGUGGGUGGGGUCUUUGAUUAUGCUGGCUGCUUUACUGAGGCAGUGGGAACUAUAGUCAGAGUCCAUAGAGGGAAGGCUGGUUUCUGGUGUGCUGUGCUGUGUCUACAAUUCUCACAUGCAGAGCAGUUACCAGACCAAACCGUUAUGUAUGUGUUCUACAGUGCAUUGAUAAAAAGUGGUAAGGGUCCUCUAUAGCCUCUUGAGGAAGCAGAAUCAUUGGUAAGCAUUUUUGGUUGUGCUAUCAGUAUGGUUGGGCCAGGACAGACUACUGAGGUUGUUCUCAACAUGCAGUCUUCUCAGUUUCAACACUGUUGAUGUGGACAUGCACUGCGCCCCCCCCCCCCCACCCAACCUUUGGAAGUCAAUAACCAACUCCACUUCUGGGUUUGAGCCACCCCUGUGCUUCUGAUUCAAUUAUCAGGUCAGAGCAACACACACAAAAUGCUGAAAGAACUCAGCAGGCCAGUCAGCAUCUAUGGAAAAGAGUACAGUCAAUGCUUCCGACUGAGUCCUACUGAAGGACUCCCCUUUAACCCCCCCCCCCCACCAUCGAUCCAAAUCACAUAAGUUCGAUUUGCUGAUCCACUACGUCACACCCACAAUUUUUUUGACAAUCCAUUCCACCUUCUUCUGCACUAUCAACAUUUCGAUUCCCCCAUCCCAAACUGGUCACCAACCUCCCUUUUCUUCCAAAGUGCCUGCCUCCUACUCCCUACCCUCAACUGUAAUCUGCCAUCUUCCUCCACUACCACCACCUUACACGCAGCAGAAUGCCAAAGUUAUCCACCACAUCCCCCUCCCCAACCCACUUCCUCAAUAUAAGCUGCUCCAGCUGUCCAAACCAGCCGGUGCCCAGCUGAAGCUUUCUCUCCCCACCCACCCCUCCCCCAGCUCAGAUGGCACCCGUUAGGAUGCCCUAAAGUUUCUACAUCGAUUCAUAGAGGAGUACAGCAUAGAAACAGCCUCUUCAGCUCGCCAAGUCUACAUUGGCCAUCAACUACUCACUUACAAUAAUCCUACAUUAAUCUCAUUCUAUUCUCCCUACUUACAGCACUCCACUGUAGUGUAACAGUUAGUGCAAUCACUUUACGGUCCCAGUGACCGCCAUUCCUGCCGCUGUCUGUAAGGAGUUUGCACGUCCUCCCCAUGACCACGUGGGUUUCCUCCAGAUGCUCCAGUUUCCUCCCGUAUUCCAAAGACAUACAGUGAGGGUUAGGGUUAGUAACGUGUAGGCAUGCUGGUGCCAGAAGUGCAGCGACACCUGCAACCUGCCCAGUUCAAUCCACGGACUGCACUGGUCUUUGACACAAACUGAUGCAUUUCACUGCAUGAUUCAUUGUACACUCAGUGGCCACUUUAUUAGGUACAGGAGUGGAACCCAGUGUGGUCCUCUGCUGCUGUAGCCCAUCCACUUCAAGGUAUGGCAUGUUGUGCACUCAGAGAUGCACUGUAGUUGUAUUGUGUGGUUACUUGUGUUACUAUCACCUUCCUAUCAGCCUGAAACGGACUGAGCAUUCUCCUCUGACCUCUCCCAUUAACAAGGCAUCUUUUGCCCACAGAACUGCCACUCACUGGAUGUUUUUUUUUUGCUUUUCACACCCUUCUCUGUAAACUCUAGCAACAGAUGUGCACAAAAAUCUUGGGAUAUCAGCAGCCUCUGAGAUAUUCAAACUACCUCAUCUGAUACCAACAAUUAUUCAGUCACUUAGAUCAUAUUUCAUGCUUAUUUUGAGGUUUGGUCAAAACAACAACUGAACCACUUGACCAUGUCUGCAUGUUUUUAUGCACUGAAUUGCUGGCCCAUGAUUUGCUGAUUAGAUAUUUGCAUUAACAAGGUGUACAGGUAUACCUAAUAAAGUGGCCAAUGAGUGUAUUUGUGGCAAGCAAAGCUAAUUUUCUUUCCCUUCAUCUCCUCCCAGAUUCUGUUGCUCAUCUGUGGCCAAUUAACCUAUUCAACAUGCACAUGUUCUGGAUGUGGGAGCGUGCAAGCUCAAUACAAGCAAAGCUCCACAGCGCUGUGAGGCGCUGUUCACAAAGUACACGUGCAGAGGGCCUACCAUCAUGUAGCAGCCAUCUGGGUAACAAAGAUUCACCCUUUUCGAUUUUAUAAACCUUUACCUAAAAAAAUUAAGAUAUGGAAUUAACUUUGCUCGACAGUAUUUACAUGCAAAAAAAAGCACAAAAUUCAUUUUCCACAACUUGCAUUUUCUCGAUGCACGUACAGAUGACAAAGCUUUUACAAAAAUAUCUCAACGUAGAGCAUUUUCUGG